rnacentral:rRNA from 1 species
GAACGCGAAGAACCUUACCUAAGCUUGACWUCCUUUUGACCGAUGCCUAAUCGCAUCUUUCCCUUCGGGGACAGAAGUGACAGGUGGUGCAUGGUUGUCGUCAGCUCGUGUCGUGAGAUGUUGGGUUAAGUCCCGCAACGAGCGCAACCCUUAUUGUUAGUUGCCAGCAUUCAGUUGGGCACUCUAGCGAGACUGCCGGUGACAAACCGGAGGAAGGCGGGGACGACGUCAGAUCAUCAUGCCCCUUAUGACCUGGGCUACACACGUGCUACAAUGGCGUAUACAACGAGUUGCCAACCUGCGAAGGUGAGCUAAUCUCUUAAAGUACGUCUCAGUUCGGACUGCAGUCUGCAACUCGCCUACACGAAGCUGGAAUCGCUAGUAAUCGCGGAUCAGCACGCCGCGGUGAAUACGUUCCCGGGUCUUGUACACACCGA